AAGCUGGAGGACGAGGAACUGGUUUCCUACAUCCUCGCCGGACUCGGCGCAGACUACAACCCCGUCGUCUCCGACAUUGCUACACAGGUUGAACCCAUAACGCCCAGUGAACUCUACACUCAGUUAGUCAGUUUUGAUG
rnacentral:snoRNA from 1 species